rnacentral:snRNA from 1 species
UUUUAUUUUGCAUUAAGAACCCUCUAAAAUUGGAAUGAUAGAAGAUUAGCAUGGCCCCUGUGCAAGGAUGACACGUAAAUUCAUAAAGCAUUCCAUAUUAAA